rnacentral:rRNA from 1 species
CUCUUAAAGAACUUAUUUUAAGUAAAAUCUGCUCAAUGAACUUUUAAUAGCCGCAGAAUUUUACUGUGCUAAGGUAGCAUAAUCAUUAGCCUCUUAAUUAGAGACUAGAAUGAAUGAUUUAACAUUUCAAAUUCUUUUUUAUUUAUAUAUCAAAAACUUAUACAAAAUAUAAAAAUAUAUUUAUAAAAAAACAAGACGACAAGACCCUUUCGAACUUAACUUUAGUUUAGCUGGGGCAGCUAUCUAAACACUAUUUUAGUACCUUCUUAAAAAUAAAUGACCCAAUAUUUAUUGUUAAAUUAAUCAAGUUACCGAAGGGAUAACAGCGCAAUAUUGUUUUAAGCUCAUAUUAAAAACAAAGUUUACGACCUCGAUGUUGAAUUAUUUCCCUUAUAAAUGCAACAAUUUACAAAGGAGGUCUGUUCGACCAUUAAAAUUUUACA